CGGGUGAGUAACGCGUGAGGAACCUGCCUCAAAGAGGGGGACAACAGUUGGAAACGGCUGCUAAUACCGCAUAAGCCCACGGCUCGGCAUCGAGCAGAGGGAAAAGGAGCAAUCCGCUUUGAGAUGGCCUCGCGUCCGAUUAGCUAGUUGGUGAGGUAAUGGCCCACCAGGGCAACGAUCGGUAGCCGGACUGAGAGGUUGAACGGCCACAUUGGGACUGAGACACGGCCCAG
rnacentral:rRNA from 1 species